rfam:TPA: Bos taurus chromosome 1, whole genome shotgun sequence.
UCCUUGGUAGCUUAGAUGGUAAAGAAUCUGCCUGUAAUGCAGGAGACCCAGGUUAGUUCCCUGGGUUGGGAA